CACGUAGGGCGCGAGCGUUGUCCGGAAUUAUUGGGCGUAAAGAGCUCGUAGGCGGCCUGUUGCGUCCGCUGUGAAAGCCCGGGGCUUAACCCCGGGUCGGCAGUGGAUACGGGCAGGCUAGAGGUAGGUAGGGGAGAAUGGAAUUCCCGGUGUAGCGGUGAAAUGCGCAGAUAUCAGGAGGAACACCGAUGGCGAAGGCAGAUCUCUGGGCCGUAACUGACGCUGAGGAGCGAAAGCGUGGGGAGCAAACAGG
rnacentral:rRNA from 1 species